CCUACGGGAGGCAGCAGUGAGGAAUAUUGGUCAAUGGACGUAAGACUGAACCAGCCAAGUCGCGUGCAGGAUGACGGCCCUAUGGGUUGUAAACUGCUUUUGUGCGGGGGUAAACUCGGUCACGUGUAACCGUUUGUAGGUAACGUAUGAAUAAGGACCGGCUAAUUCCGUGCCAGCAGCCGCGGUAAUACGGAAGGUUCGGGCGUUAUCCGGAUUUAUUGGGUUUAAAGGGGGCGUAGGCCGUAAGGUAAGGUUGCCGUGAAAUGCCGGGGCUCAACCAUGGCACUGCGGCGUGAACUGGCCUGCUUGAGUGUGCGGACGGUAUGCGGAAUGCGUGGUGUAGCGGUGAAAUGCUUAGAUAUCACGCAGAACUCCGAUUGCGAAGGCAGCAUACCGAAGCGCUACUGACGCUGAAGCACGAAGGCGUGGGUAUCGAACAGGAUUAGAUACCCGGGUAGUC
rnacentral:rRNA from 1 species